CCUACGGGUGGCUGCAGUGGGGAAUAUUGGACAAUGGGCGCAAGCCUGAUCCAGCAAUGCCGCGUGUGUGAAGAAGGCCUGCGGGUUGUAAAGCACUUUAAGCAGGAAAGAAGGGCGGAGCGAUAAUACCGUUUCGCAUUGACGUUACCUGCAGAAUAAGCACCGGCUAACUCCGUGCCAGCAGCCGCGGUAAUACGGAGGGUGCGAGCGUUAAUCGGAAUUACUGGGCGUAAGUUUGAUGUAGGCGGCUUGAAAGCCCUGGGCUUAACCUGGGAACUGCGGUGGAUACUGUCGGGCUAGAGUGUGGUAGAGGGGAGUGGAAUUUCCGGUGUAGCAGUGAAAUGCGUAGAGAUCGGAAGGAACACCAGUGGCGAAGGCGGCUCCCGGACCAACACUGACGCUGAGGUGCGAAAGCGUGGGGAGCAAACAGGAUUAGAUACCCCGGUAGUC
rnacentral:rRNA from 1 species